CUUUAAUCAACUGUCUUUUGUGAAUUUGUAUUUGUAUAAAACAGCAAACUAGACUUGUGUAAGUACCCAUGUUCUUUGUUUAAGUUCAGCUCCUGUAACGAUAAUUUACGAGGGCUGGUGUUUGCCUAUACUGUAUCCAGGAGACAGGCUGAGAGCAAGAGGGGGGGGAAACCCUCCACAUUUUCCACUCAGAGACAUCAUCUAAUCUGAGGUUUUAAUAUUACCAGGGAGAACAGAGACAUAAUAUAAUCUGAGGUUUUAAUAUUACCAGGGAGAACAGAGACAUAAUCUAAUCUGAGGUUUUAAUAUUACCAGGGAGAACAGAGACAUAAUCUAAUCUGAGGUUUUAAUAUUACCAGGGAGAACAGAGACAUAAUCUAAUCUGAGGUUUUAAUAUUACCAGGGAGAACAGAGACAUAAUCUAAUCUGAGGUUUUAAUAUUACCAGGGAGAACAGAGACAUAAUCUAAUCUGAGGUUUUAAUAUUACCAGGGAGAACAGAGACAUAAUCUAAUCUGAGGUUUUAAUAUUACCAGGGAGAACAGAGACAUAAUCUAAUCUGAGGUUUUAAUAAUACCAGGGAGAACAGAGACAUAAUCUAAUCUGAGGUUUUAAUAUUACCAGGGAGAACAGAGACUACAAAAGCCAUGUCACAGCUUCAAUUCAGAAUUCACAUAGAUUGGUUUAGGCAUGAGUAUUAUUCAAAUAAAAAGUUAAGUAAUUUGUCUUUCAGAUCAACUUGUAUGACUCUCCGCUAGCCUACUGUACAAAAAAAAUAAAACAUCUCAAAAAGGAUAUCGUGACUUUUUAUGAUGAUAUAUUAAAAUAUCUUUUUAAGCAACAUCUACUGUUCAGGGUUGGAGAAGAUUGCUUUGUAAAAAUGUAUUCCGCUGUUGCCUUUGUAUAGCGUGAAACCCCCUGUUGCCUUUGCCAUGUCAAUGGCUCUAUCUGUGUGGCUGUGAGCCGGUGGGUCUGAGUCUCUUUGUAUCCAUGCUGAUUGUGGCUCUGAUGGGAAGAGAGCUUUAGUGCGUCACAGGCUUGCAACUUUCUCUGGUGACAGGACAGUCAUGACCCUCCAAACAUUCUGAAAUGUCUUUUUUUUUUGGUCUCCACCAGUUUUAUCAUUUCACUGUGAUACAAAAAGAGGCAUCGGUAUGCUUUAGGACCCUGCGGACACCACAUAGCAGGAUGUGUGACGGCAAAGCUUCUGAAAGGCUAGCUGGACUGGGCACGGGAGAGGAACGGAGGCAGCUGCUGUCAGUGUGUAUGUGUUGCACUCUUUCUCCG
rnacentral:lncRNA from 1 species